UGUUUCGGCUAGGGGGCCAUCCCGGCUUACCAACCCGAUGCAAACUGCGAAUACCGGAGAAUGUUAUCACGGGAGACACACGGCGGGUGCUAACGUCCGUCGUGAAGAGGGAAACAACCCAGACCGCCAGCUAAGGUCCCAAAGUCAUGGUUAAGUGGGAAACGAUGUGGGAAGGCCCAGACAGCCAGGAUGUUGGCUUAGAAGCAGCCAUCAUUUAAAGAAAGCGUAAUAGCUCACUGGUCGAGUCGGCCUGCGCGGAAGAUGUAACGGGGCUAAACCAUGCACCGAAGCUGCGGCAGCGACGCUGAUGCGUUGUUGGGUAGGGGAGCGUUCUGUAAGCCUGCGAAGGUGGCCUGUGAGGGUUGCUGGAGGUAUCAGAAGUGCGAAUGCUGACAUAAGUAACGAUAAAGCGGGUGAAAAGCCCGCUCGCCGGAAGACCAAGGGUUCCUGUCCAACGUUAAUCGGGGCAGGGUGAGUCGACCCCUAAGGCGAGGCCGAAAGGCGUAGUCGAUGGGAAACGGGUUAAUAUUCCCGUACUUGGUGUUACUGCGAAGGGGGGACGGAGAAGGCUAUGUUGGCCGGGCGACGGUUGUCCCGGUUUAAGCGUGUAGGUGUGUGUUCCAGGUAAAUCCGGUUCACUUUAACACUGAGGCGUGAUGACGAGGCACUACGGUGCUGAAGCAACAAAUGCCCUGCUUCCAGGAAAAGCCUCUAAGCAUCAGGUAACAUCAAAUCGUACCCCAAACCGACACAGGUGGUCAGGUAGAGAAUACCAAGGCGCUUGAGAGAACUCGGGUGAAGGAACUAGGCAAAAUGGUGCCGUAACUUCGGGAGAAGGCACGCUGACA
rnacentral:rRNA from 2 species